rnacentral:rRNA from 1 species
UACGUAGGGGGCGAGCGUUGCCCGAAUUUACUGGGCGUAAAGCGCACGUAGGCGGCUUCGUAAGUCUGGUGUGAAAUCUCACGGCUCAACCGGGAGGCUGCACCAGAUACUGCGGAGCUCGAGGACGGGAGAGGAGAUCGGAAUUCCCGGUGUAGCGGUGAAAUGCAUUGAUAUCGGGAGGAACACCAGUGGCGAAGGCGGAUCUCUGGCCCGUUGCUGACGCUGAGGUGCGAAAGCUGGGGGAGCGAAAGGG